UCCGGUGGCCUGCGACCCCGUAAUUGCCUCGGCGAUGUCGUGGGUUCAAGCAGCCUCCUUGAUCCAGGGCCCUGGAGACAAAGGGGACGUGUUUGACGAAGAAGCAGACGAGUCGCUCCUGGCGCAGCGGGAAUGGCAGAGUAACAUGCAAAGACGAGUCAAAGAAGGUUAUAGAGAUGGAAUAGAUGCUGGCAAAGCAGUUACUCUUCAACAGGGCUUCAAUCAAGGUUAUAAGGAAGGUGCAGAAGUCAUUUUAAACUAUGGACGACUCCGAGGAACAUUGAGGUAAUUUUUAAAGUCUAAAUGCUGAAUCAUUUUAACCUCAAUACUACUGGAGGAUGUUUCUGUAUAAAUAAAGUGUUUAAACUGAAAUGCUUUUCCUGGUGCUAAAUACACUAAAGCGUGUCGCAGAUCAUAGAAUUAUAUCGCCUUCAAAAAGUCAAAAUCUUUAUCAGCUCAUCUGCUUUAAUGUGUGAACUACAUAUUGUCUUUUCGUGCAAAGAAAUGGUAAGAAGAUGUAUACUUCUGCUACCUGAACAAUUAUCUAUCUCAUUGAAAGGUCUUCAGAUUUUGAAUAAAACUUUUAGUACUUCCACACAAUAUGACAGACCUCUAGACUAGAAGUACAUGAUGAAAAUAGUUGGUAAUUAAGAUAAAAUU
rnacentral:sRNA from 1 species